UAGGGAAUCUUCCGCAAUGGACGCAAGUCUGACGGAGCAACGCCGCGUGAGUGAAGAAGGAUUUCGGUUCGUAAAACUCUGUUGUUAGAGAAGAACAGCGCAUAGAGUAACUGUUAUGCGUGUGACGGUAUCUAACCAGAAGGCCACGGCUAACUACGUGCCAGCAGCCGCGGUAAUACGUAGGUGGCAAGCGUUGUCCGGAUUUAUUGGGCGUAAAGCGAGCGCAGGCGGUCAAUUAAGUCUGAUGUGAAAGCCCCCGGCUCAACCGGGGAGGGUCAUUGGAAACUGGUUGACUUGAGUGCAGAAGAGGAGAGUGGAAUUCCAUGUGUAGCGGUGAAAUGCGUAGAUAUAUGGAGGAACACCAGUGGCGAAGGCGACUCUCUGGUCUGUAACUGACGCUGAGGCUCGAAAGCGUGGGUAGCAAACAGG
rnacentral:rRNA from 1 species